rnacentral:ncRNA from 1 species
AAGAUGACGGUGAAAGGGACAGUACAAUUUUUCGAAUGCUUUUUUAGCGAACCGGGGAGGGUGGAAGCCUGGUAAAGUGAAAAAUUGGAAGAUCACCCUUGAGUCCCGGGUCGAACUCCUUUAGGAAAGUAGACUUUGGCGUAUUAUUCACGUUACGAAUGCUUAAGGGGAUAGGUGCGAUAAGUGCCUGUCUAUAAGGGUGGUACCGCGGGAAUAAACCUUCUCGUCCCUAUA